AAGUCUAGCCUGCCCACUGAUUUUAUUGAAGGGCCGCGGUAUCCUGACCGUGCGAAGGUAGCAUAAUAAUUAGUCUUUUAAUUGAAGGCUUGUAUGAAUGGUUGGACAAAAAGCAGUCUGUCUCAGUCUUAAAAAUUGAACUUGACUUUUAAGUGAAAAGGCUUAAAUAAAUCAGAGGGACGAUAAGACCCUAUAAAGCUUUAUUGUGUAAAGUUUUCGAUAUAUAUUAUUGAGUUUAACAUAUUUUAAACUUUAACAAUUUCGUUGGGGCGACGAGAAUAUAAUAAUUAACUGUUCUUGAGUUUUUGUGUAUACAAUGAUUUUUGUAAUUAAAUGAUCCUUUAAUAAAGAUUAAAAAUUUAAGUUACUUUAGGGAUAACAGCGUAAUCUAUCUUGAGAGUUCUAAUCGACAGAAAGGAUUGCGACCUCGAUGUUGAAUUAAAAGUCCCGUACGGCGCAGCAGUUGUAAGUGGGAGGUCUGUUCGACCUUUAAAUUUUUACAUG
rnacentral:rRNA from 1 species